GUCUACGGCCAUAGCACCCUGAACACGCCCGAUCUCGUCUUUUGGCGGAAGCUAAGCAGGGUCCUGCCUGCUUAGUACUUGGAUGGGAGAGUGGGAAGAGGAGUUAGCUGGCCGCG
rnacentral:rRNA from 1 species